rnacentral:rRNA from 1 species
UACGUAGGGAGCUAGCGUUGUUCGGAAAUACUGGGCGUAAAGCGCACGUAGGCGGCGCCGUAAGUCAGGGGUGAAAUCCCGGGGCUCAACCCCGGAACUGCCCUUGAAACUGCAGUGCUAGAAUCUUGGAGAGGCGAGUGGAAUUCCGAGUGUAGAGGUGAAAUUCGUAGAUAUUCGGAAGAACACCAGUGGCGAAGGCGACUCGCUGGACAAGUAUUGACGCUGAGGUGCGAAAGCGUGGGGAGCAAACAGG